UACGUAGGGGGCAAGCGUUGUCCGGAUUUAUUGGGCGUAAAGAGCUCGUAGGUGGUUUGGUUAGUCGGAUGUGAAAUCUCCAGGCUCAACCUGGAGGGGUCAUUCGAUACUGCCAUGACUAGAGGUCGGUAGGGGAGUGUGGAAUUCCUGGUGGAGCGGUGAAAUGCGCAGAUAUCAGGAGGAACACCCGUAGCGAAGGCGGCACUCUGGGCCGAUACUGACACUGAGGAGCGAAAGCCAGGGGAGCAAACGGG
rnacentral:rRNA from 1 species